CUGCUCAGCGCCACCAUUGCCUGCCACCUGGACCCCCGCGUGUUCCUGGACGGCCUGUGCCGGCUUUACAGCAGCCAGCUCCUUUUUCUGAUGAAAUUGAAGUUGACUUUAGUAAGCCCUAUGUCAGGGUAACUAUGGAAGAAGCCAGCAAAGGAACACCUUGUUGCCAGAACUACUAACUUCUACCAAUUGAAGGACAGGGUUGCUGAAACCAGUGAAAUCUGUUUUCAAGGCCUAUGUCGGGUUACAGUGUUGUUGUAAAGAUUCCCACAGGAGCAACAAACAUUGAAAUUCUUCUGCACAGCUAUUCUGGAAAACCAGAAGAUGACAAUCACCUCGCCCUAUCUGAUGCCCAAGGGAAUUUUCUUUUAAAUGGAGGUUUUGUUGUGAGUAUGUUAAAAGAAGAAAUAAACAUACAAGGAGCUCUUUUUGAAUACAGUGUAUCAAACAACUCAAUUGAAAGAAUUAACAGUACUGAUCGAUUGGAAGAAGAACUUGUUUUACAGUGUCUUGUUACAUAUGGAAAAGGAUCAAAGCAGCAGCAGGUUUGUUGUCAACUGAAUGAAGAUCACUUGAGUGAUGGCUUUUGUAAUCCAAGUACCAAACCUGAAUCUCUAAGACCCUGUGAGCUUCAUGCACGUGCUGCUUGGAAAGUAGGAUCAUGGAGGUCUUGCACAGCUACCUGUGGCCUUGGGUAUCAGAUAUGUGCUGUUAAAUGUGUCAACAAACUCGUUAGUGCAGUAUUAGAUGACAGAGAAUGUCAAGGGGCCAUCGCCCAGGUGAUAGCUGUUCCCAUGGGAAAAGCAGCACAGUGGAGACAUGGUUCUUGGACCCCAUGCUCCGUGUCUUGUGGAAGAGUUAAUCAAGUCUGCUCCGUAAGCUGUCCUGAUGCUCUUGAUGGAGUAGCAGGUGAAUCACAGUGUGCACACGUGUCCAGACCUGCUGAAAUAUCUGUGUUUGCUUUAGCCCUUGUGGAGAAUGGCAAGCAGGAAAUUGGUCACCUAUUCACACUGUGGAAUCCGCAGUUCGUGUGUGUUUCUGUGUUUUAUCCUGGCCGGUGUUCUCGCAGCCAUGCUGGAGGUCUUCAGUGUAAGGUUGUGGUCUGCCAGGAUGAGAAUGGACAAAGUGCUAGUUACUGUGAUGCACCCUCAAAACCCCGGAGUCAAAACACUGUGAUUGGGGGCCUUGUCCUUGCUGGAGCUAUGGAAACUGGGGAGAAUGUACACAGAUAUGUAGAGGAGGUAUAAAAUCAAGAUUUGUAAUAUGUCAGCUUUCUGAUGGCCAGCUGUCACCAGAGCACAACUGUGAAAUCCUAAACAAACCACCUAGUGCAAUACAUAUGAAGAUUUGCCUCCACUACAGUUUUAGCUGUUGACUUUCCCAGCAGCGGGCAUCCAGGUCAUCCUCAACUUCCAGUGAGCUAGAAAGUGCCUUCAAACACCUGUGCACCUGGGAAUCCAGGCAUCUGCUUCACUUCAGAAGAAGCAUUCAUGAUUCAUUUCAAGAAGACUUGAGCAGGAAGAACUGAGCUUCAGGUAUACCGCAGGUACCUUGCAUUGCAGAUGGGUUAGAAGAGAGAAGAGCUGCUUCAUGGGAUUUUAUCACAUUUUUCCUGAAAGUCCCACACACAGGUGAGUCCCCACAAUAUUUAGAAGCCAUUUCCCAACCUUUUUAAUGGAAUUGAAUCAGAACCCCUGAUGAUGUGGAAGAGCCAUAAUUAGUUUGGAUGUUAAUCAUGUGUUUCGUUCCUGAGCUCAUUGCUCAAUCCAACCAUUCGACCUUGAGUAUGUGAGCUUCUCAAAUCACAGGCAGCUCUUGCUUUGUGAGAACAUCACCCUGAUUCAGUGAGCCUGAUGCAGGCUGCAGCCACUCAGUGUUCUUGUGAAGGCCUAUUUGUGUGACUGGUCUCUGGCAUCCUUGUCCAGCCCUGCUUAGAGUAGGGGGUUAAGGGUCCAGGCAGGUACCCUGUUACUCUUGACCUCCAUUGCCAUUGGGCCUCUCCAGUGUCCCUGGACUACAGCCUGCUCUUGUGGCCUGGGCUCAGUGAAUCUGAGGUUUGGAAUCCCACUGUGUGUCCAGAUUCCAGGCACUCCAGGAGCCUUAUAACUGGUACAACCUUUCUUAAUUUUGUUUGGGAGAAUUCUCCCACCCAUCCUCCUCCAUU